UGGGGAAUAUUGCACAAUGGGCGCAAGCCUGAUGCAGCCAUGCCGCGUGUGUGAAGAAGGCCUUCGGGUUGUAAAGCACUUUCAGCGGGGAGGAAGGCGGUGAGGUUAAUAACCUCAUCGAUUGACGUUACCCGCAGAAGAAGCACCGGCUAACUCCGUGCCAGCAGCCGCGGUAAUACGGAGGGUGCAAGCGUUAAUCGGAAUUACUGGGCGUAAAGCGCACGCAGGCGGUCUGUCAAGUCGGAUGUGAAAUCCCCGGGCGCAACCUGGGAAAUGCAUUCGAAACUGGCAGGCUAGAGUCUUGUAGAGGGGGGUAGAAUUCCAGGUGUAGCGGUGAAAUGCGUAGAGAUCUGGAGGAAUACCGGUGGCGAAGGCGGCCCCCUGGACGAAGACUGACGCUCAGGUGCGAAAGCGUGGGGAGCAAACAGG
rnacentral:rRNA from 1 species